GAUGAACGCUGGCGGCGUGCUUAACACAUGCAAGUCGAACGAUGAAGCCCAGCUUGCUGGGUGGAUUAGUGGCGAACGGGUGAGUAACACGUGAGUAACCUGCCCUUAACUCUGGGAUAAGCCUGGGAAACUGGCUCUAAUACCGGAUAGGAGCGUCCACCGCAUGGUGGGUGUUGGAAAGAUUUAUCGGUUUUGGAUGGACUCGCGGCCUAUCAGCUUGUUGGUGAGGUAAUGGCUCACCAAGGCGACGACGGGUAGCCGGCCUGAGAGGGUGACCGGCCACACUGGGACUGAGACACGGCCCAGACUCCUACGGGAGGCAGCAGUGGGGAAUAUUGCACAAUGGGCGAAAGCCUGAUGCAGCGACGCCGCGUGAGGGAUGACGGCCUUCGGGUUGUAAACCUCUUUCAGUAGGGAAGAAGCGAAAGUGACGGUACCUGCAGAAGAAGCACCGGCUAACUACGU
rnacentral:rRNA from 1 species